UGGCGGCAGGCUUAACACAUGCAAGUCGAGCGGUAGCAGAUCUAGCUUGCUAGAUGCUGACGAGCGGCGGACGGGUGAGUAACGCGUAGGAACCUGCCCAGUAGUGGGGGAUAGCCCGGGGAAACUCGGAUUAAUACCGCAUACGCUCUACGGAGGAAAGAGGGGGCUUCGGCUCUCGCUAUUGGAUGGGCCUGCGUGAGAUUAGCUAGUUGGUGAGGUAAUGGCUCACCAAGGCGACGAUCUCUAGCUGGUCUGAGAGGAUGAUCAGCCACACUGGGACUGAGACACGGCCCAGACUCCUACGGGAGGCAGCAGUGGGGAAUAUUGCACAAUGGGCGCAAGCCUGAUGCAGCCAUGCCGCGUGUGUGAAGAAGGCCUUCGGGUUGUAAAGCACUUUCAGUGGGGAGGAAGGCCUCGUAGUUAAUAGCUGCGAGGAUUGACGUUACCCACAGAAGAAGCACCGGCUAACUCCGUG
rnacentral:rRNA from 1 species